GAUGAACGCUAGCGGCAGGCUUAAUACAUGCAAGUCGAGGGGCAGCAUGGUGUAGCAAUACACUGAUGGCGACCGGCAAACGGGUGCGGAACACGUACAGAACCUUCCUUCGAGCGGGGAAUAGCCCAGAGAAAUUUGGAUUAAUACCCCAUAGUACAUUGAGGCGGCAUCGUUUUAAUGUUAAAGAUUUAUCACUUGAAGAUGGCUGUGCGGCUGAUUAGGUAGUUGGCGGGGUAACGGCCCACAAGCCUGCGAUCAGUAACUGGUGUGAGAGCACGACCAGUCACACGGGCAACUGAGACACGGGCCCGACUCC
rnacentral:rRNA from 1 species